rnacentral:rRNA from 2 species
AGCUCCAAUAGCGUAUAUUAAAGUUGUUGCAGUUAAAAAGCUCGUAGUUGGAUUUCUGGCCGAGUGUCCCUAGGCCAGCAUGACGUUUGGUCCUAGGCGCUCUGCCAUCCUUCUGUCAACCUUCGCCUUCUUCAUUGGGGGCGCUGGGGCUCAGAUAUUUUACCUUGAGAAAAUUAGAGUGUUUCAGGCAGGCUUUCGCCGGAAUACAUUAGCAUGGAAUAAUGGAAAAGGACUUCAACCUCUUCUGUUGGUCUGAGAGGCUGUAGUAAUGAUUAAUAGGGAUAGUUGGGGGCAUUAGUACUUAACUGUCAGAGGUGAAAUUCUCCGAUUUGUUAAAGACUAACUUAUGCGAAAGCAUUUGCCAAGGAUGUUUUCAUUA